UAUGCCAAUUGACUCUUUUUCGCAGCCACGAAAAACUACCAAGAAAUCUGAUUUCUUUGCUGUGGUCAAAAAGG
rnacentral:tRNA from 1 species